rnacentral:rRNA from 1 species
AAGGUUUCCGUAGGUGAACCUGCGGAAGGAUCAUUAU